rnacentral:rRNA from 1 species
CAAUAGCGUAUAUUAAAGUUGUUGCGGUUAAAAAGCUCGUAGUUGGAUUUCUGCCGAGGACGACCGGUCCGCCCUCCGGGUGAGUAUCUGGUUUGGCCUGGGCAUCUUCUUGGAGAACGUAGCUGCACUUGACUGUGUGGUGCGGUGUCCAGGACUUUUACUUUGAGGAAAUUAGAGUGUUUCAAGCAGGCACACGCCUUGAAUACAUUAGCAUGGAAUAAUAAGAUAGGACCUCGGUUCUAUUUUGUUGGUUUCUAGAGCUGAGGUAAUGAUUAAUAGGGAUAGUUGGGGGCAUUCGUAUUUAACUGUCAGAGGUGAAAUUCUUGGAUUUGUUAAAGACUGACUACUGCGAAAGCAUUUGCCAAGGAUGUUUUCAUUGA